GACGGAGGGGGCUAGCGUUGUCCGGAUUUACUGGGCGUAAAGAGCGCGCAGGCGGUCGUCCAAGUCGCGUGUGAAAGCCCCCGGCUCAACUGGGGAGGGUCACGCGAUACUGAUCGACUCGAAGGCAGGAGAGGGAAGCGGAAUUCCCGGUGUAGUGGUGAAAUGCGUAGAUAUCGGGAGGAACACCAGUGGCGAAGGCGGCUUCCUGGCCUGUUCUUGACGCUGAGGCGCGAAAGCUAGGGUAGCAAACGGG
rnacentral:rRNA from 1 species